UGAGGAAUAUUGCGCAAUGGGGGCAACCCUGACGCAGCAACGCCGCGUGAGUGAGGAAGGUUUUCGGACCGUAAAGCUCUGUCGAGCGGGAAGAAAUGCAUGGUGGCUAAUAUCCAUCAUGCUUGACGGUACCGCUAAAGGAAGCACCGGCUAACUCCGUGCCAGCAGCCGCGGUAAUACGGGGGGUGCAAGCGUUGUUCGGAAUUAUUGGGCGUAAAGAGCGUGUAGGCGGUUGGAUAAGUCAUAUGUGAAAGCCCUGGGCUUAACCCAGGACGUGCAUUUGAAACUGUCCAGCUGGAGUAAGGGAGAGGAAAGUGGAAUGCCUGGUGUAGAGGUGAAAUUCGUAGAUAUCAGGAGGAACACCGGUGGCGAAGGCGACUUUCUGGCCCUAUACUGACGCUGAGACGCGAGAGCGUGGGUAGCAAACA
rnacentral:rRNA from 1 species